CAACAGCCUCCAAUCAGGACACAUCUGACACCUUCUGUUUUUUCUAUCUUAGAGUGGAAAAGCUUUCCCUCUCCUCUGCCAGUCUUUGAGUCUCUGCCAAAAAGCAAGAGAUGGUGGCUGCCUUCUUUGCAGUUUCAAACUCUGACUCUUCUAGUAGCUGCAACAUCCAGUAAUGAGUGAAGGUGAUGCGUGGGAUCCUACGGUUCUCUCAAAGAGGGGACAUGCUGUGCUGCGGAAGGAGAAAAAAGAGAUCUAUGGACAUAAUUUACACAGGACCCCCGAGGGUAAUUAAGCCAGCAAUUCUUUUGCCAGUAAAAUGAGAAAAACCAGCUCUCAGUAAAUUCUGAAUUCCACUAUGGAUGUUGCAGAAACAGAACUAAAAACAGCUGCAGUUUAUCUGUGCUGCCGAAUUGACUGUAAUUUGCUGCUACCCUCACCCUUACCACAUAGCAAUCAGUGUACAGAAGUGCAGAAUUUUAAGAUGAUGAAUGUUUUAUUUCUUAAAAUAAACAGUAGCAAUUUAGCAACAUAGUUAUGUAUUUUACAUUUUUUAUAUAGUAAAAGUAUAUUGGAAACUUCCUCAGUGUCAAAAAUCCUUACAUGCACUUGUCAAAAAUAUCAAGAUGACAAGCUAAUAUGGAAUUCAGAUUUAAAUAAUAGACUUCUCAGAUACAUCCCAUGAAUCUUCUGGUUGUUUUGUUUGCACUGACCAAGAGAUGCCUAUUGCCUACCCCUAGUCUGGUAUUUUAAGAUUGUCAGAAAUAGUCACGCAGUCCAAAAGUUAGGACUAGGGUUUUUUCUUUUGUUUGUUUGUUUUUUCAACAAGUUAACUUUUUCUCAGCCUAGCAAACGCCAGUCACCAAAUGAGUUUCUUUGCUUGGAAUCAUUUCCUCAGUCCAGUAUCUGCUUUCCAUGGUUGUAGUAC
rnacentral:lncRNA from 1 species